rnacentral:misc_RNA from 1 species
GGAAGUAAAAGUCGUAACAAGAUCUCCGUUGGUGAACCAGCGGAGGGAUCAUUACAGGACUCGCAAGACUCCUUCACCCUGUGAACCUCACUACAAGCACGUUGCUUCGGCGGGUGUCCCGGCGGGGGUUUUCCCUCGCCGGGGCGCACAGCCCGCCGGCAGCCUACUAUACUCUGUCUCUUUGCGUUGGCAUCUCGAGAAAAAACAAACAAGUUAAAACUUUCAACAACGGAUCUCUUGGUUCUG